AGCAGCUGAUUCAAUUUUAAAGAAAAUCAGAGUGUGUGAAAAUGGCAAGAGAAGAGAAAGUGUUGGACUGAAUAACAGAAGGUAAUUAAAUUGCUCUAAUUGAGAUGAUUAGAGAGGGAUGCAGGGGU
rnacentral:lncRNA from 1 species